AGAGUUUGAUCCUGGCUCAGGAUGAACGCUAGCUACAGGCUUAACACAUGCAAGUCGAGGGGAAACGACAUCGAAAGCUUGUUUUUGAUGGGCGUCGACCGGCGCACGGGUGAGUAACGCGUAUCCAACCUGCCCACCACUUGGGGAUAACCUUGCGAAAGUAAGACUAAUACCCAAUGACGUCUCUAGAAGACAUCUGAAAGAGAUUAAAGAUUUAUCGGUGAUGGAUGGGGAUGCGUCUGAUUAGCUUGUUGGCGGGGUAACGGCCGACCAAGGCGACGAUCAGUAGGGGUUCUGAGAGGAAGGUCCCUCACAUUGGAACUGAGACACGGUCCAAACUCCUACGGGAGGCGA
rnacentral:rRNA from 1 species